rnacentral:rRNA from 1 species
UUCCAGACUCCUACGGGAGGCAGCAGUGAGGAAUAUUGGUCAAUGGGCUUACGCCUGAACCAGCCAAGUCGCGUGAGGGAAGACUGCCCUAUGGGUUGUAAACCUCUUUUGUCAGGGAGCAACGCCGGCUACGUGUAGCCGGACUGAGAGUACCUGAAGAAUAAGCACCGGCUAACUACGUGCCAGCAGCCGCGGUAAUACGUAGGGUGCGAGCGUUAAUCGGAAUUACUGGGCGUAAAGGGUGUGCAGGCGGUUUUGCAAGAUGGAUGUGAAAGCCCCGGGCUUAACCUGGGAAAGCCGUACAUGACUGCAAGACUAGAGUGCGUCAGAGGGGGGUGGAAUUCCAAGUGUAGCAGUGAAAUGCGUAGAUAUUUGGAAGAACACCGAUGGCGAAGGCAGCCCCCUGGGACGCAACUGACGCUCAUACACGAAAGCGUGGGGAGCAAACAGGAUUAGAUACCCCCGUAAA